CACGUAGGGCGCAAGCGUUGUCCGGAAUUAUUGGGCGUAAAGAGCUCGUAGGUGGUUUGUUACGUCUGCUGUGAAAACCUAGGGCUUAACCCUGGGCUUGCAGUGGAUACGGGCAGACUAGAGGUAGGUAGGGGAGAAUGGAAUUCCUGGUGUAGCGGUGAAAUGCGCAGAUAUCAGGAGGAACACCGGUGGCGAAGGCGGGUCUCUGGGCAACUACUGACGCUGAGGAGCGAAAGCGUGGGGGAGCGAACAGG
rnacentral:rRNA from 1 species